rnacentral:rRNA from 1 species
CGCGCAGGCGGCUCCUCAAGUCAGGGGUGAAAGCCCAAGGCUCAACCUUGGAAUUGCCCUUGAAACUGUGGAGCUUGAGUACGGGAGAGGUGAGUGGAAUUCCCAGUGUAGAGGUGAAAUUCGUAGAUAUUGGGAAGAACACCGGUGGCGAAGGCGGCUCACUGGCCCGUUACUGACGCUCAGGCGCGACAGCGUGGGGAUCAAACAGGAUUAGAUACCCUGGUAGUCCACGCCGUAAACGAUGGACGCUAGCCGUUGGCAGGCUUGCCUGUCAGUGGCGCAGCUAACGCAUUAAGCGUCCCGCCUGGGGAGUACGGCCGCAAGGUUGAA